rnacentral:rRNA from 1 species
UACGUAGGGCGCAAGCGUUGUCCGGAAUUAUUGGGCGUAAAGAGCUCGUAGGCGGUCUGUCACGUCCGUUGUGAAAACUCGAGGCUCAACCUCGGGCUUGCAGUGGAUACGGGCAGACUAGAGUGCGGUAGGGGAGACUGGAAUUCCUGGUGUAGCGGUGGAAUGCGCAGAUAUCAGGAGGAACACCGAUGGCGAAGGCAGGUCUCUGGGCCGCAACUGACGCUGAGGAGCGAAAGCAUGGGGAGCGAACAGG